GUUUCUGCAGGGAAUGAAUAUUACAAGAUAGAUGCUCAUCUCUUUUAGAACCUUCCCAUUUGGCCGUACGAGGAUCCAAGUUUGACUUGCACAAUGCGAGAUCACUUCCCAGCCAUGCUGACAUCAUCAAAACCUGGAAGUGACUGGCACAAGUUAGGUGAAACAACAUUCUCCCAGUGUGAAAAAAAGUGAGUUAAAAAAAUAUUAGAACAGCAACAGAAAUGUGCACAUUAGUUUGGUCCUUAACACGCACUUCCAGAAAACUGCAGAUGAAAAUGCAAUCCCCUUGCUUAUCACUUUUGUUUUUUUAUUCCUUCUAAUGUAAAUUUGUCCACUCAUGCACAAAAUACUGUCCCUUUCAGCCAUUUAAGAUAAAAUAAGCUAUACUGUCUUUACUUCCAUUGGUGUUUGUCUUUUUAUUAGCUUAUGCUAUAAAAACCAUGAUACAAGCAUGAAAUUAAUUUAUCUACAAUUUGAGUAAAUGUAUCUUUGUUUUAGCCAUGUCUGUGAACCUUAGGACUAAUGCCUGUGAAUUGUAAAACAAUAAGGUUUCUAUUCUAUUCUAUUCUAUUCUAUUCUAUUCUGUCCUCAAUCUAGUCGGUUUUCCUAGAACAGGAAGACUUUUUACUUUGCAAUCUGCAAUCAUCUGUGCCUUUCAUAGGUUUAAAAGGGGGUCAGAAAGAGACAGCAGGGGAGGAAAGGAGAGUCAUGCGUGGAUAGAUGGGUUGGAAGGAGCAGCAAGCUGUGACUCUUGGACAUGUUCUGGUGGGUGCGCUGAACCCCGGAGGCUGCAGCCACACUCGGCUCUUUGUUGUUUUCGUUCUGCACAGCCAGGCACGGUACUUUCCUGGGCCGGGGAGGAGGAUUAGCGUUGCAUGGCCUCCAUCCCCAGCUGCACACAUGACCAGCGCUGCAGGAAAGCCCCGCAUGAUGGCCCAAAAAGAGGUGCGUCAGGGCUGAAGGGAGCUGGGAGAGGCAAGGAGCGACCAGCUUUCUUUCGUCCAUUACUGCAAAAUGUUGUGGACUUUUUAAACACUAAUCAUUUAAAAUAACAUGCUUCUUUCUGGAAGUGCAAUUUAAUGUUGAUUUUUCUCCCUAAAGCAAUCUGUUCCCCUUUUAUUAUUACUACUUGUGCUGCAACAUUUUUACC